UGUGAAUAUGAUAUGAGAUAUUAGUAUGCGUUUAGUGUUUGUUUUGUUGAUGUGGAUCUUUAUGUGAAAGGCUUACUAGGUAUCUUGGAAAAUGGUGAACUGGCCCGGUACAUAGGAAAUCUUACUGUGGACGUUACCUCAGUCGAAUGGAGCUGAGAAAUCCCAUACCAGAAGGGUUUGGGAGAUAUAGUUCACCCUCAUACUGGACGGAGUAUCGAGACGAUAGAAUGUUUGGCGCCCAUUACUAGACGGGGUAUAGAGACCACCGGUUAAUUGAUAAAAUUGGAUAUUUAGUUCACACAUAGGAAAAUAUCUCUAU
rnacentral:lncRNA from 1 species